UUGGGGAUUAGUAUGAAAAUUCGCAGGAAAAUAAUUUUCCUGCGAAUUUUCAUACUAAUCCCCAAAA
rfam:Solanum tuberosum cultivar DM 1-3 516 R44 scf00280_37, whole genome shotgun sequence.